CCCUUGGUAGUCUAGUUGGUUAUGGCGUUCGGCUGUAAUUGUGAAGAUUGUAUACCGAAAAGUCACCGGUUCGAUUCCGGUCCGAGGGA
rnacentral:tRNA from 2 species